GUUUAAAUUAUGGUUCAGUUAUGUUGGAACUAGCUAGUUCCUUAGUGGGGAACAUAAUUAUUAGCGGCUAAUGGUAUAGAAUUUGGUAUUUAAUGACCAUGUGUUGGGUUAUAUAUGUGUGAGAAGUGUUAUUGUACAUGGGAAUUUUUCUCAUUUUUGUAUCUUCUUCAUCUUCUUUUUGAGUCUGCUCCGUAGAAGAGAGUGUUUAAGGGAACGCUCUAUAUGAAGAGUUAAAAUUGGAGUCUGACGUCUGCCAGUAGAGAACCGCAUAAAGUGUUGCCAGGAUGAAGGAGGUUCUCGUGUUUGGAAAAGUUAAGUUGACAAAGAGGAGGAUGGCAGAUAAGUUUCUAUACUCCAUUUUUGGGUGUUCUGCUAUUGCUGUGUUACUUGUGUGAUUUGUAUUGGGUUCAAUUUGAGUCUAUGGCUGCUUAUAAGUAUGAUUUUAGAUUGUAUAAAAAUUAUAUACAUGUAUUGAUUUGUGUAAGUAUGAGAGGUUCAAGAAUGUUUUCUGUUAAAUCGAUAUGGUUAUGUAUCGAUGAAAUGUUAGCGCACUCUAUGAUAUAGUAUGAAUAAAUGAUAUUAAUUUAAAUGA